GUACUCGCUUCGGCAGCACAUAUACUAAAAUUGGAACGAUACAGAGAAUAUUAGCAUGGCCCCUGCUCAUGAAGCGUUCCACAUUUAAAAAAAAAAUCAAAAAGACUU